CUUUAUGCAGCACUCUCCGACCCUCGAGCGGUUUACUUCCUCUAAGAACGCAGAUUGGAGCAUCCUCGGACCUCAGACCCCAGAAUCCCUCAAAAGAGAAAUUAACACCCUCGGGACCGUAGCCGAAGGUCUCCCUUCCCCACCAUUCACCCACUGGGGCCUUGCUCCCUCCAGCACACCUGCAACGCGCUCACCGGGUAGCCGGAUGGGGAAAGGUCACUCCGAGGAGCCCAGAACCGCAGGUCUCGGGUGAGAUCACCGCCGCUGGCUUCUGCGCUCAAGCAAGUCUCGCGAGACUAGAGCCCAACUCCGGCCCGGGGAAGUGGAAGCAGAGUAGUGAGGACCGCGGAACUUCUGGUUGCCAUGACGACUCUACAGCCGGGUGCAGUUUUCACCUGCCUCCUCCGCUGCCCCGGGCCUAGCAGUGGGGAAGGGAAGGCUGGAGGCAGAUGGAGAUCUUCUGUAGACCUGCAUCUCGGAGCUGGGCACUUUUGGCCCCAGAGGCUCUGGGAUUGUAGAAGCCAGUACAUCUCUCUCUACUUGUAAAUGGCCACCAUGUACUCAUUUCAUCAGCCUUCCUGUGUAAAAUCUCAUCUCCAGCCCCCGCAAGAUGCCUUCCUUUCCCCCAUCCUAACGCCCCCACAAGACAGCUCUUUGAGCACAUAGCUCACUUAUGUUGGUAUUCUCAACGCCUCUGCGGGCUUUUUUACCUAGUAGCCCACAUCCAAACCAUGAAUAAAUACUGCUGGCCCUUCCUUCCGAAUGUGUGCAAGAGGCAACCACUCUCCAUCCAGGGAAAUGCUUCAUCUCUGCUUCAAGACAUUUCCCACCCAAUUGUCAUAAUAGUCUCCCUGUUGGUCUCCAUACAUAGCCUACUUACUCUGCCCUCUGACACUAAUAAAUAAAUCUG
rnacentral:lncRNA from 1 species